AAUAGAUGAGGUCAAACCUAGAGGAACUCGGAACCAGAAAAGAACCUCAUACAAGGACGAAGAUAAGAAGUCUCCUUAUGGAAUAAAUCUCUGCAGUGACUGGUUCCCCGAUGACUCUCUCACCCCAUGGCUGUUGCACCUUUGAUGGAACGUUCCCUGCAUUUAUCACCUGGUGGCUGCAAAAGACAUCCAUGGCUAAGGCUUCCUCCCCACCCCCGGCUGAGGACCAGAAACAAAGAACAAGGAGCCAAUGAUGCACCAACCUGCUCCUGAGACUUGAGAAUCUGCACCACGCGGAAGAUGUACUUGUCCUUACUGGCCUUGUUAUACUCCUUCAUGGCGAACCAGAGUGCCUGCUGCACGUACACAUAGUCUGUGGGGAUGUCCUGGAAUGCCCUCACCACCUUGGGUGAGCCCCAGGCUUGCACACUUCUGGGCACCAGCGCUGUAGCUGCCACCACGAACAGCAAGGUCUGGCAGGGUCUGGCCAUGGCUCCUCAGCCAAGGGGGCAAGGGGCUGAGGCCUGCUGUCCUGCCAGGGUGUGGGUUGGCUGUAGGCAGGAGGGCUCCAGCUAUCUCUGCAGGGCCCGCAGCUCCUCUUAGCACUGCUGGGGUUGGAAAGGAGUGAGGUUCUCUCACGAUUGUCUUCUCCAGCUUCUCCUCUUUCCCCCAAGAGAAGUCACCUGAGAAAUCUGCAGUUACAACUCAGCCCAUGUGCCCUGCUUGACCUUUUCCCUUCUGGAAGAAUUCAUGCCUCUGUGCAUGCAUACCUGGGAGCUGACACACAGGCGCACACAUGUGUGUGUACACAUGCAUGUGUACCCACACCCAUGUGCAUGCACCUACACACAUGUAAACACACACAUACCUAUGUACACA